rnacentral:rRNA from 1 species
UACGUAGGGUGCGAGCGUUGUCCGGAAUUAUUGGGCGUAAAGAGCUCGUAGGCGGUGUGUCACGUCGGCCGUGAAAACCUGCAGCUUAACUGUGGGCGUGCGGUCGAUACGGGCAUCACUGGAGUUCGGCAGGGGAGACUGGAAUUCCUGGUGUAGCGGUGAAAUGCGCAGAUAUCAGGAGGAACACCGGUGGCGAAGGCGGCUAUCUGGACUGUGAUUGACGCUGAGGCGCGAAAGCGUGGGGAGCAAACAGG